ACUGGAGUGGGUUGCCAUUUCCUUCUCCAAUGCAUGAAAGUGAAAAGUGAAAGUGAAGUCGCUCAGUCGUGUCCAACUCUUAGCGACCCCAUGGUCGCUUCUCCAUCCAUGGGAUUUUCCAGGCAAGAGUACUGGAGUGGGGUGUCAUUGCCUUCUCCGAACAACCUUGCUAGUUGGGUUCUAUUGAUGUCAGCUUCAAUUUGUAAAUGAGGAGACACAGGUUUAGAGAGUGUAAGUAAUUCCGUAACAGCUUGUGAGUGGUAGAAGCUGGUGUUUAAACCCAACCAUUCUGUUCCUGGAGUCUAUGCUCUUAACCACCACGUUCUGCUGAACUUCAUUGAAUAAAUUACCCCUAAGUCCUUUCCCUUCAAGAACAAGUGAGCUAGAUUAAUUUUUUAAAGUAGGAAGAUUAAAAGUAUUUAGGCCUGGGGUGAGCAAAUGAAGUACUAUAGGCCAAAUAUGGUGAGGCCCACAAGCUAAUAAUUUUUUUUUCAAGUGGUUGAAAAAAAUUUUAAAUAAUAUUUUGAGACACGUUAAAAUUAUAUACAAUUCAAAUUUUAAUCUCCACCAUUAAAGUUUUAUUGGAACACAAGUAUAUCCAUGUAUGUGUCUCUAGGCCCAUUUUGUGCUAUAGGAGCAAUGCUGAAUAAUUGCGAGAGAGACCCUACAGCCUCCUAACCCUAAAAUAUUUACUAUCUGACACUUUGCAGGAAAAGUUUGCUGAUCCCCUACUAUAACCAAAAACUGGCAAAUGAACAGAAGUAGAUUUAAGAGCUUGAAUUCCUCAGGAAUGUUGUUGUCCUCACCCCUCCUCUCAGUGCCUGGAGGGACCGCUUCCACGCCUGCACUGCAUUAGGAGGUGGGAUGGGCGUGGGGAGGAAAGAAACCUCUGACCCAGUUGCUGCUGCUGCUAAGUCGCUUCAGUCGUGUCCGACUCUGUGCGACCCCAGAGACGGCGUUCGUUGCAUUUCCUGGGUGGAGGAGGAAGGUGAAAGGAUGCUCGCAGGUGAAGAUGAAGCUUUCCUUUUUCAGUCCUGAAUCACAGCCAGUUGAGUUUAUCCCUUUUUGGCCGCGGAAUGGUAACUUUCAAUGCCCAUAGUAAGUUCAGACGCUCCAGUCAGGGGAGGAGAGGCCUAGCUAAGGCGCCUUAGAGGUGUCUUCUCCCAAGGCCUACAUCAGGAGCCCAAAGCUUGGACAUGUCCCAGACGUCUACCUGCUCCUCUCUGGGGAAUGACAGUGCCUCUAGGGCACUGUAUGGGGUCGGGAGCCAGUUCACCUGGGUUCUAAGCUGAGAUUUGUCCGCAAACCUCCAGCAUGAUGGCACCAAGCGGAUUUCUUCCCUUCCACCUUGCUUAACAUAACUAAAUGGAAGUCAGUUGCUUAUCAGCUUCUUCAGUGUGUUCAUGCAUUCAGCCUAUAAGGUAACAGAGACCAACAACCAUCUCUUCCUGCCACUUUGAAUUAGACUUCUCUGGAUAUCUCAGGCUUCUUAGGUUUGAGGCUUCCCAGAUGGCUCAGUGGUAAAGACUCUGCCUGCCAAGCAGGAGGUGCUGGUUCUUUCCCUGGGGCAGGAAGAUCCCCUAGUGAAGGAAAUGGCAAUCUACUCCAGUAUUCUUGCCUGGGAAAUCCCAUGGCCAGAGGAGCCUGGUGGGCUGCAGUCCAUGAGGUUGUAAAAAGAGUUGAACAUGACUUAGAGACUAAACAACAACAACUUAUGUUUUAUCUAUGUUAAUUAUUCAUAUUCUUCUCUUUUAAUCCUUUUUACUUCUAAAAUAUUAGUAGUAGUGUCUUCAAUAAUUUUAAUUAUUUGUUUUCUCACUUUUUCCCUUGGUUGGUCUAUCUAAUUUUCUUGGUCUUUUCAAAGAACUAACUUUGGGGUUUCAUUAAUUUUUUUCUACUAUGUUUCUAUAUUCUGUUUUGUUGAUUUCUGUACUUAUUUUAUUACUUUAUUCCUUUUGCUUUCUUUGGAUUUACUUUUUUUUUAACUUAAAAAUACAUUUGUUACUUCACAGUGUCUGUGGGUCAGAAAUUUGGGCAUAGUCUAGCUGGGUUCUCUGCUCAAGGUCUCAGAAAG
ensembl:lncRNA